rnacentral:rRNA from 1 species
GAUGAACGCUGGCGGCGUGCCUAAUACAUGCAAGUCGAGCGAACAGACGAGAAGCUUGCUUCUCUGAUGUUAGCGGCGGACGGGUGAGUAACACGUGGAUAACCUACCUAUAAGACUGGGAUAACUUCGGGAAACCGGAGCUAAUACCGGAUAAUAUUUUGAACCGCAUGGUUCAAUAGUGAAAGACGGUCUUGCUGUCACUUAUAGAUGGAUCCGCGCUGCAUUAGCUAGUUGGUAAGGUAACGGCUUACCAAGGCAACGAUGCGUAGCCGACCUGAGAGGGUGAUCGGCCACACUGGAACUGAGACACGGUCCAGACUCCUACGGGAGGCAGCAGUAGGGAAUCUUCCGCAAUGGGCGAAAGCCUGACGGAGCAACGCCGCGUGAGUGAUGAAGGUCUUCGGAUCGUAAAACUCUGUUAUUAGGGAAGAACAAAUGUGUAAGUAACUGUGCACGUCUUGACGGUACCUAAUCAGAAAGCCACGGCUAACUACGUG